rnacentral:tRNA from 1 species
GGUGGGGUGGCGGAGCGGUUACGCGUGCGCCUGCAGAGCGCAUUCACGUGGGUCCGAGUCCCACCCCCACCU